CCUACGGGUGGCAGCAGUCGAGAAUCAUUCACAAUGGGGGAAACCCUGAUGGUGCGACGCCGCGUGGGGGAAUGAAGGUCUUCGGAUUGUAAACCCCUGUCAUGUGGGAGCAAAUUAAAAAGAUAGUACCCCAAGAGGAAGAGACGGCUAACUCUGUGCCAGCAGCCGCGGUAAUACAGAGGUCUCAAGCGUUGUUCGGAAUCACUGGGCGUAAAGCGUGCGUAGGCUGUUUCGUAAGUCGGGUGUGAAAGGCGCGGGCUCAACCCGCGGACGGCACAUGAUACUGCGAGACUAGAGUAAUGGAGGGGGAACCGGAAUUCUCGGUGUAGCAGUGAAAUGCGUAGAUAUCGAGAGGAACACUCGUGGCGAAGGCGGGUUCCUGGACAUUAACUGACGCUGAGGCACGAAGGCCAGGGGAGCGAAAGGGAUUAGAUACCCUUGUAGUC
rnacentral:rRNA from 1 species